UUUUAAAACGAUUUAUAUUAUACUCAGACGGCACAGUUAUCAAGAAUUUAAAAAGGCUACCGGCGGGCACAGGCCAGGGGCGGGAAAGCCACCGGCGGCCCCAAAGGGCGGGCCCGCCAAAGCAACAUGGUUUGUUAAACAUAGGGUUGGAGAUCGGGCCUGGAAGACCCUAACUCGGUAAUGAUCCUUCCGCAGGUUCACCUACGGAAA
rnacentral:misc_RNA from 1 species